AUGGCGGCCCUGCAGGGGAGAAGGCUCCUCCUUCCCCUUCCCCUCUCCCUCCUCGCGCGGCAAGCCCUCCGCCGUGCCGUCCCACCGCCCAUCCCCCGCUGCCGCUUCCUCGGCUCCUCCUCCCCGCCCGCGGCACCGGCCUCCCCCUUCCCCUCCCCGCCCGCACCCGGCCCCCGCUCCCCGCCCGGCUCGCUCCUGCCGACGAGCGCCGCGGCCGUCGUGCCGGCCGCGCGCGGCGCUGGGUCCCCCGGCCUCGAGAUCUCCGCUCCGCAGCGAGGCCGGACCACCUCGGGCUGGCCCCUUCCGUCGUCGGCAUUGCUCCACGCCGCGGCGCCCUGGGCGCUCUGGACAUCGGCCACGGCCGAUGACAUGGUGGGCGCGCUCAUGGGCGCCAACUUGUCCGUCUUCAUGCUCUGGCGCGUGCUCGCGCAUCCCAGGUUCAUCACGGAUCCUCACAUGGUUUGGCUGGACAUGUACUUCGGCGGGCGGCUGCACACGCUGCUCACGAGCGCCUCCAGCAACGUGGAUCCCAUGUUCAUGAGGAAACAUUUCAUGAUCUCGCUGGACAAUUUCACGAGUGGGCGUCUGCACACGAUGCUCACCAGUUCUUUCAGCCACAUGAACCUUAAGCACCUCUUCAACAACAUGGUCGGCCUCUACUUCUUCGGCUCAAGCAUUGCCCGCACGUUUGGUCCUGGUUUUCUUUUCCAACUGUACGUGACUGGAGCACUUACUGGGUCUGUAUUCUACCUGGCAGAAAAGAUUUUUCUAGCCCCACGAAAAGAGGUUUUUGGAGGAUGGAAAACUCCCUGUCUUGGCGCAAGUGCUGCAGUUAAUGCAAUUGUUCUUCUUGAGAUAUUUUUGCAUCCGACGAAGCUACUAUACUUACACCUUUUCAUUCCCGUUCCAGCUGCGUUAGUGGGAGUUGGUUUGAUUGGUGCUGAUUUGUGGAGGGUCAAGAAGGGUGGGAGUCGCGUGUCAGGCUCUUCUCAUCUAGGGGGUGCCCUAGUUGCGGCCGUUGCCUUUGCGGAAAUCAAGGGCUGGAUCUGA
rnacentral:rRNA from 1 species